AUUGAACGCUGGCGGCAUGCCUUACACAUGCAAGUCGAACGGCAGCGCGGGGCAACCUGGCGGCGAGUGGCGAACGGGUGAGUAAUAUAUCGGAACGUGCCCUGGAGUGGGGGAUAACGUAGCGAAAGUUACGCUAAUACCGCAUACGAUCUGAGGAUGAAAGCAGGGGACCUUCGGGCCUUGUGCUCCUGGAGCGGCCGAUAUCUGAUUAGCUAGUUGGUGGGGUAAAAGCCUACCAAGGCGACGAUCAGUAGCUGGUCUGAGAGGACGACCAGCCACACUGGAACUGAGACACGGUCCAGACUCCUACGGGAGGCAGCAGUGGGGAAUUUUGGACAAUGGGGGCAACCCUGAUCCAGCAAUGCCGCGUGUGUGAAGAAGGCCUUCGGUUGUAAGCACUUUGUCAGGAACGAAACGGUACUGGGCUAAGU
rnacentral:rRNA from 1 species